GCAAGGGCAGGGACCGAACCCGCAACCUCAUGGUUUCUAGUCGGAUUCGUUAACCACUGCGCCACGACGGGAACUCCAGAAAUGUCUUUUUCAAUUCAGCAAUUAAAUUGUUUUAUAAAUACUCCUGGUUAUAUAAGGGAAAAUAGUAAUUUCAGAUUUUAGUGCAGCCUGAAAAAAAAUUCUCACCUUCCCCAAAGUUUGCUUAACAAUGUGUACCAGUUUGGUGAAUGAGACUUUUCUAAUUUUUGAAUUUUUUGCUAAAAUUCCAAACUGCAGAAAACUGAGUGUUUCCAUGUUGUGCAGAGAGCCAUCAGUAAGCCCUGAAUAUCUAUCUCCCUUUUGGAUCAUAUUAAGAGAUAGCAUGGGCUUUUUAAAGGCACACAAAUAAUUUAAAAAAUAUAUUACAUAGUUACAUGAAAUGGGUGAAGGGGAUCAAAAGGUAUAAGUUUCCAGUUAUAAAUAAGUCAUGGGUUUGUAAUGUACAGCAUGGCAACUAUAGUUAAUGAUUUUGCACUGCAUAUGUGAAGUUGCUGAAAGAAUAGCUAAACUUUCUCAUUACAGGAAAAAAAUUUUGUAACUACAUAUGGUGAUGGAUAUUAAACAGACUUAUUAUGGUGAUCAUUUUGCCAUAUAUACAAAUAUUGAAUCAUUAUGUUCUACACCAGAAAUUUAUAUACUAUGAUAUCGCCAAUUAACCUUAACUUUAAAAAGCUAAAUCACAUGAAAAGGAACAGCUUAAUUUGCCCUGAUAUUCCCAACUAUCAUUCCCAGCAGAUAUCGAUGAAAGUAAUAGGCUUCAAGGGUAUUCACUGUGGUUUUGAAUUCUUCACCAGCCCAGAGUGGUGAAGAAUUCACCACUCACAAACCAAGAUACAUGGGGUUGAGGAGAGUACCUCACAGGAAUUGGGGGUGCCUGGAAGAGGAUUGGCAUUGAUAUCUCAGUCAUGGAUUGGAUGCCCAUUCCCAUGGCGGCCUUUCAGAUCUGUUCCACAAUUACGUAAGCUCUGGUGGGGCAAAAUGAGAGGAACUACAAGGCAGAGAGGGAACAGCAGGUGAGAAGCUUGUGCAUCCAUUGUUUAGGGCACAAAGAGGUAGAAUUUUACAAAGGGGGUUACCUAAUGCAAAGGAAUGCUGUGUGUGUGAUCACCAGGGAGGGACAUUUGAGGCAAGGUUGGAAGCAAUGAGCCAGAACAGAUGUUUCACUUUAGAAGGCUAAGCAGAGGGGAGGGAUCCUUCAAGAGACACCCAAUAGAAUUCACAUGCACUCUCCUGAAUAAAACAAGCCUUUCAAUGCCCACCACAGAGAAAGCAGUUUUGGCUGAGAGAGGACUGCAGCUGCUCAAGGGUUUCCUUUGCUGUGCAGACGAUGUGACUGUUGUAUGCACUGAACAAUGCCUGCACAAGACAGUACGCAAUAAUCCCAGUGAUGCUUCAUUGUUUUUCAUUAUCGCACUGGCAUCUAACUGUACAUGCUCCAUUGCUCAUGCCAUCAUCCUAAUGAAGAAAUACUUUCAAACAGUGGAAUGGACCAUGUGCUUUAUCUUAGCCUAACUGAAGGCUGUUGGAUGAAAAGUGAUAAGCUGUUGCCUGACGUUUUCUAAAACUAUUUUUAUUUCUUGUACCUGGGUGUAAAAUGUGGAUACAUCUACUUAUUUAUAGUAAUUUUUAAGGUUCUGGAUAAGUAUCUUCUACAAGGAAUACAAUUUACAGGUCUUAGAAAUGAUUCAGCCUAGUAUUUACUAAAAAGAUUCAAAUAUAUCCGUUGAACAAAUGAAUAAAACAGCAAGCAUGGAAUUGGAUACUACCACAUAGAAAUGUGGUUUAUCAUUUCUGAGAGCUGGGGGUUUCAGGGUAUGUGAUGAGAAUGACAUAAAGAUGCAGUUUGAUCACAGACAGAUUUCAGUCUGGAGAGGAGCAGAGCUAUAUCCACACUAUACACCCUUGUCCCCAUCUUCCUUAGCAUCGUCUUGGAGUUGGUCUAUGGCAUACUAUAGUCUUUGAAAAAUUCUGUCUUAAAGAAUUCCAUUACCAUAACCUGUGUGUUAGAAGUCUCAAUGAUAAAUGAAAGGCUAAGGAGUAGGUUUGUUUGAGUUGAGAGGAUGCUAGUUCACAAGUGUUCAUGUGUAUAUAUAUAAAAUUAUCAGAAAUGAUGCACUUUGUUGCUUUGCUUCCUUCUCUGUGCCCCCUCAUGAAUACUUCCAGGAGUAUUACUUCCUGGCUUAGGAAGGGUAUAAUUUAAAAGGGGGAAGAAACAUUUUGACAUUUUAAUAAAUCCUAUUAAUAAACUGACAUUUGGUUUUACAAAUAAACUUGGGAUUUCCAAAUACCUGAUUUUUAACUGAAAGGUACUAUACUUGAGCUUGCUGUCAGGAAAACGUAUUGAGAAAAAUGCCAGAUACAUAAAGUGCUGGUGUUCUCCCUUUAGGUAUGUUUUAUUAUUACCAUGUUGUACUCUGACCUGCAUGUAAAUAUUCCUGCUCAUUCCAAGGUCUAAAAAACCUGGUACAAAUAGGCUGCCACUGGGCUAAGAACCUUUGAGUUCUAAAAUGACUCUGGAGCAAUGUAUAUGAAGGUAGGCCAUGCAUAGUCAUGCAGAAAUGUUAAGGAGUUUCUCCUUAUGUAUGCACAACUGGAGGCAUUGCUCUUCUUUGCCUAAGAUUUAUACUUCUGCUGUAUCAAAAUAAUCUUUUAGUUAAGGGCUAUCUGGAAACUUUAUUUUUAAAAGCUUGGCCACUUUAAUCAAUACUUUAAAUAAUUAAUUUAGUACUAAAAUUCAUUUAAAAAAUAGGAAAAUUUUCAGCAUGAAAUUGUACAUUCCCUUUGUGGAAGGGCUAUUUCCAGUAAAUGUAGUCAAUAAAUUUAUCUCUGAAGGCACAAAUGUAUGCCCAAGAACUUUGAAUAUCUGUGAAGUGGUUUCUUUGAGAAAAAGCCAAAAUAUUGUGCUUUGAGGUUGGUAAACUAUGAGAAAUCUCUCUUUAAUAUGAAAUUAAGAUAUUUUUCUUGUCGUUAAGGGGAAAAUGCCUUCCAAAUUUUAUUCUUUUGAGUACCCAAUAUCUCUUCAAAAAAAAAAAAACUUUAUGCUAAACUUGUUGAAAACUGGUUAACAGAGUGUUUCAAUUCCUGUGUCAAAAGCUCUAUGAAAAUAAUUAUUAUGUAUUAUAUAAACUGAUAAGCAUGACAAAUUAAGUGUUAACCCAGAAGACUCCUUUCUGUUUCUAAAGAUUAGAAACAAAAUAUGAAGUUUUAAAAAAUUGAUGGUAAUAACACAUAAAGAAAAAUUAAAAAAUGGUCAUUAAUGUUGCAGAAUAAAUUUGUAUUUUGUCAACAGAUGAUAAAUAUAUAUUGAAUAAAUAGACUUUAUUAUCUAAAAUAGCCCCUUUCUUAGUUGCCAGUAACAGAAAUUUACUGGAUAAUUUAAGCUGAAAGGAAAUAUAUUACAGUAUGUUAGGUAGCUCACAGAUUCAAUACAAAGGUAGAAAGCCUGGCUUAGAAAACAGGCAGUGACCACAGAGGGCACAAACCACAACCUGGGUCACCUCAUAGGACUAAUCUCUAAACUUGUCCAGUGUCUUUACGUUCUUCUCCCAAGAUGCAAAGUCUUGAGGGUGGGGGCUGGGCAGAAUAUGAGAUAUCUGAGAACCUGAGCCUGUUUCCCACACUUUCUGUCCUGGAUUCCAGGGAUAGGAAACUACCUCCUUCCUUAGCUCCCAUGUUAGAGCUAGGAUGUUUGAUCCUACCAGUAUUAUAACCAACUGAGAAUUCUCCAAAAAUAGGAAAGGAAUUUGUGUUGCCUCUCCCCAGAUGAUAAAUACCUGCUUCAAAAAACUAAGAAAGAGAACUCUCUGUGAACAUACCUGAAGUCUGAGAUAUAAUAAUUCUUACUAUACAGACUAACUGUAUUAACUGGAUUAUUUAGAGGAUAAGUAAGCUAAUGUAAAAAAUUACACUGGAUUAUUUAGAGGAUAAGUAAGCUAAUAUGAAAAAUUAAGCAUAUAAAUGUGAUUUGGAAAAUUUGAAACUUUGGGCUGCGAUAGGAUUGAAAUAGUUUUAGUUUUAAUGCAUAGGGUUCAGUGAUAUUCCAAUUCCAGAGAAUUUGAAUAGUGACUAUCUAAAAAUAUUUUGUCUCUUUUUUUUUUUUUUUGUAUUUUUAGGGCUGCA